GGAUUCGAUCCUGGCUUUAAAUCGAGUCUCACAGGUUCUGCUUUUUGGAGUUACCGGGAACUUCCCAGUCCAGACGGUUGGAAUUACAGCAUUAUACUUUGACUGGUAUAAUCUUCUGCUUUCGUUCACCCCAGUGUGCCAAUAAACAUCCCAACGGUGAUGUUUUUGGCAUCUUUUCAUCAGCAGUUCUAUUUCCUGCACUCUUAUUCUUAAACAAUUUUGCUAAUGCCUUUAUACUUAUAUACAUUCAAAUACCAAAUACCAAACAAACGCAAAUGACAAUUGUCCCAAAUAAUACACAAAGUCCAACCCAGCAAUAGCUUUCGCUUACGACUUACGGGCAGACGCCUAGGCUUCCAAUGCAAACGGGUACCCUCCAAGCCCCAACCCUGCGAAGCUUUCGCCGCGCCUCGCGGGCAGGCUUUCCAAACAAAUUCCAAAGCAGCAGCGCCUUACCUUUUUUCCAGGGAACGCUGCGAGGAGCUUUGUGAGUCGAGGGUGAUGGUUCUCCCCGAGAAUACCUCGGUGCCGGCCGGAGUUCGAUCGACACUCGAUCUCGUCCAGUCUCACUCGCAAGGUCCCGUCUGGGUCGCCAAAACCGUUACCGAAAUCCAGAAUAAAACUCCUUAACACCAACGUGAA